rnacentral:rRNA from 1 species
CAGCCGCCGCGGUAAUACCGGCGGCCCGAGUGGCGGUCACUAUUAUUGGGCUUAAAGCGUCCGUAGCCGGGUUGGGAAGUCCUCCGGGAAAUCUGGCCGCUUAACGGUCAGAAUGGCGGAGGAUACUCCCAGCCUAGGGAGCGGGAGAGGCCGAGGGUAUUCCCGGAGUAGGGGGGAAAUCCUAUAAUCCCGGGAGGACCACCUGUGGCGAAGGCGCUCGGCUGGAACGCGUCCGACGGUGAGGGACGAAGGCCAGGGGAGCAAACCGGAUUAGAUACCCGGGUAGUCCUGGCUGUAAACGAUGCGGACUUUGUGUCGGACAAGCUAUGAGCUUGUCCGGUGCCGGAGGGAAACCGUUAAGUCCGCCGCCUGGGGAGUACGGCCGCAAGGCUGAAACUUAAGGAAUUGGCGGG